rnacentral:lncRNA from 1 species
AUUACGUACACACACCGUUAGGAUUUGGUUAGAUUUGUAAUUAAAUCUUAUUUGGAUAAUAAUUAAUAUUUAAAUCUGUUUGAGAUAAAUUAAGAUUUAAAUAUUAAUUAGAGGAUAAACCUAACUAGAUUAGGAUUAAUAUUUAAAUCUAUUAGAGAUUGAUUAAGAUAGAUUUAGAUAUUAAUUGGAGUAGAAAUCCUAAAUAUAUUAGGAUUGGGGUACGUUUUGGUGGAGCCUUAUAAAUAGCUCUUUGUGGGUUUGCUUUUUGAGUGAAGUAUCGGGAGAGAGAGAAAGAGUCUCUUGGGUUGCCGUACCAGAGAGAGAAAAAGAAAGAGAGAGUUAUUUAAUUAUGCUUUGAGUGCACCUAGUGCACAGGUGCAUGUAAAGAAUUGUCUUCUUUAUGGAUUUAUAGAAGAUGAGAGAAGAGUAGAAGAGAUUCAGAAAGAGGGCUCGGGUUGUAGCUACUCUGUGCAGAAGAGGAGUCAGGUGUAAUCUUCUCUUAUUUAAUGAAUCUUAUUUUACCUGCAUAUUUUUCUCUUUUAUGAUUGUAUCAGCUUUUGCUGAGGAGACGGGUUUAUGGUAAAAACCCGAUUUGACGUUUCCGUUGCGGAAUCCCAACAAUCGAUACCGGAUCCACAGCAGUCAGUAUCGGAGCGGGUUGCGGAUUCACGAGAUCCGGUACCGCGGGGCGAGUAUCGGAUUCCCAACAAGUGGUAUCAGAGCUGAAGGUUAUCGAUCCGAGGGAGAGAUCGACGAAGAUGGCCACGAAAUUCGAAAUCGAGAAGUUCGACGGCAAGAACAAUUUUGGAUUGUGGCAAAUUAAAGUACGAGCGAUCCUCGUACAGCAAGAAUUGGACGAGACGUUGAACGGGAAGGAGGCGAAGCCGGCGGAGGUCACGGAUGCGGCAUGGACGAAGAUGGAGCGGAAGGCGCUAAGUACGCUUCAUCUAUUAUUAGCAGAUGAGGUUCUUUACAAUGUAGCCGGCGAGACGACACCGGCGAAAUUGUGGAAGAAAUUGGAAGAUCUGUACAUGACCAAAUCCCUGACGAACAGAUUGUAUCUAAAGCAGCGACUGUUUACGUUGCGGAUGCAAGAAGCGGCGAGCCUACAUGAUCAUCUAAAUGAGUUCAACAAGAUGGUGGCCCAGUUGACUAGCAUCGGAGUCAAUCUGGAUGACGAAGAUAAGGCGCUGAUUUUACUAUCUUCGCUACCGGCGACAUAUGAGCAUCUGGUGACCACAUUACUUUAUGGCAAGGAGACCAUAAGCGUGGAGGCGGUCACGGCGGCGCUUCUCUCGAACGAGAUGCGGAAGAUGACUCAGGGGUCCGGCACGCAAAGUCAGGAUAUAGGACUGGUGGUGACUGCGAAGAAGGAUGCGAGAAUAUCGACGACCGGAUAUCGACAGAAGAAGCCGCUAUCUGAGGUAGAGUGCUUUUACUGUCACAGGAAAGGGCAUAUCAAGCGCAAUUGUCGAAAACUUCAGGAUGAUCUGAAAGAGUUAAAGCGACAGAAGGAGAAAACUGUCGUGAACCAGGAUGAGACGGUAUCAGCGACGGCACAGACGGCAGAGUCAGAGAUGUUCGAUUCUGAUGUGCUAUAUGCGGCGACCGGAGGUGCAAAAAUUUCGGACGAUGCGUGGGUGCUCGAUUCAGCGUGUUCUUUUCACGUAUGCCCGGAGAAGGAGUCUUUUGCCACCUAUAAGGCGAUCAAAGGUGGAAAGGCGCUGAUGGGGAACGGGACAGCGUGCAAAGUAUUGGGAGUCCGCACGGUGAAGAUCCGAAUGCACGAUGGGGUCGUGAGGACGCUGACAGGUGUUCGGCACGUUCCUGGAUUAAAGCGGAAUUUGAUCUCGUUAGGCGCAUUGGACUCGAAGGGUUGCGAUAUUUCGGCUUCAGGUGGAGCUAUGAGGGUCCGAAAACGAGAUCGGGUCGUGUGCGAGGCGAACAAGCGUGGGAAAUUAUACGUUCUGAACGGAAGCACAGUCAGAACGAGAGUGAAGAUCGUUUGGGUUUCAAAAGUUCGCGGAGGUGCAGUCGCUCGAAACGGAGCAACGGAUGCGGCGACAUCGAGCGGAGGAGACAAGCUCAAGGUGGAGCUUGCAUGGUGAGCUCGACGUGAUGGUUGAAGAUUACAAAUUCAAUCAAGGUGGAGAUUGUUAGGAUUUGGUUAGAUUUGUAAUUGAAUCUUAUUUGGAUAAUAAUUAAUAUUUAAAUCUGUUUGAGAUAAAUUAAGAUUUAAAUAUUAAUUAGAGGAUAAACCUAACUAGAUUAGGAUUAAUAUUUAAAUCUAUUAGAGAUUGAUUAAGAUAGAUUUAGAUAUUAAUUGGAGUAGAAAUCCUAAAUAUAUUAGGAUUGGGGUACGUUUUGGUGGAGCCUUAUAAAUAGCUCUUUGUGGGUUUGCUUUUUGAGUGAAGUAUCGGGAGAGAGAGAAAGAGUCUCUUGGGUUGCCGUACCAGAGAGAGAAAAAGAAAGAGAGAGUUAUUUAAUUAUGCUUUGAGUGCACCUAGUGCACAGGUGCAUGUGAAGAAUUGUCUUCUUUAUGGAUUUAUAGAAGAUGAGAGAAGAGUAGAAGUGAUUCAGAAAGACGGCUCGGGUUGUAGCUACUCUGUGCAGAAGAGGAGUCAGGUGUAAUCUUCUCUUAUUUAAUGAAUCUUAUUUUACCUGCAUAUUUUUCUCUUUUAUGAUUGUAUCAGCUUUUGCUGAGGAGACGGGUUUAUGGUAAAAACCCGAUUUGACGUUUUCGUUGCGGAAUCCCAACAAUCGAUACUGGAUCCACAGCAGUCGG